UUGAACAAAAGACGAAAAAUCGGGGAUAAAUUCGAAAUAAAUAAAAGGACCCAAUUGAAUGCGCAGGAAACAAUGGAGGACCAAAAGGGGAAUUAAUCCCUCCCUCCUACAUGUUGCGCAGCACUGGAUUAAAUCGUCACGCGGGUAAAAUAUUUGGGCCAAAUUUUAAAGAGGAAAAAGAACUUGAUUAAAACGCGUCACAAAAGGAGGAGGGCUAAUUGCGCAAUUUUCCCAUUUAAGGUGGAUAUGCGCAGACCUUUACCCCCCAAACUAAAUGGCUCAGCUUUAAAUCAUUCUGUUUCUUUUUUUCUAAAAGAAAAGCAGUGGCUCUGCUAAGGUUCUUUUAACCCAUUCCGCGCCAUCGUCCAUCUGCCCCUUCACCAAAGCUCCGACGACGGCGGAGAUGGUGGUGGCGCGGCGACCUCGACGAACUGGUGCGUGGAGAGUUUGGCAUGCGUGGAGGCCGAAACUUGCGACGUCCGGAUGCUGCUGGAGGCGCUGAAGGCGGGGGGAGCUGCGGCGGCUACUGGCAAAUGCUGCUAGGGUUCUCUUUUUUUGGGGGGGUUAAGGCUAGGGUUUAAUUUGGGCUUUGUAAAAAUUGGGCUGUGUCCCAUUAUUUAUUCCACACGGGCCUGGGCCAAUUUGGGCCUACUACAUGAUCAAUACAAAGAAAUCGAAAAAAAGGAAAAGAUCAGUUUUUUUGGAA